UCGAGAAUCUUCCGCAAUGGGCGAAAGCCUGACGGAGCGACGCCGCGUGAUUGAUGAAGCGAUUCGUCGUGUAAAGAUCUUUUAUGAGGGAAGAAGUUUAUUGACUGUACCUCAUGAAUAAGGGGCUCCUAACUCUGUGCCAGCAGGAGCGGUAAUACAGAGGCCCCGAGCGUUAUCCGGAAUUAUUGGGCGUAAAGGGUGUGUAGGUGGCAUUGUUAGUCUUUUGUUAAAUCUCCGGGCUUAACCUGGAAACCGCAAAGGAAACGGCAUUGCUAGAGUUUGUGAGGGGUGUGCAGAACUCAUGGUGUAGGGGUGAAAUCCGUUGAUAUCAUGGGGAAUACCAAAAGCGAAGGCAGCACACUGGCACAAUACUGACACUGAGACACGAAAGCGUGGGUAG
rnacentral:rRNA from 1 species